ACGGGUGAGUAACGCGUGGGAACGUACCUUUUGGUUCGGAACAACACAGGGAAACUUGUGCUAAUACCGGAUAAGCCCUUACGGGGAAAGAUUUAUCGCCGAAAGAUCGGCCCGCGUCUGAUUAGCUAGUUGGUGGGGUAAAGGCCCACCAAGGCGACGAUCAGUAGCUGGUCUGAGAGGAUGAUCAGCCACAUUGGGACUGAGACACGGCCCAAACUCCUACGGGAGGCAGCAGUGGGGAAUAUUGGACAAUGGGCGCAAGCCUGAUCCAGCCAUGCCGCGUGAGUGAUGAAGGCCCUAGGGUUGUAAAGCUCUUUUGUGCGGGAAGAUAAUGACGGUACCGCAAGAAUAAGCCCCGGCUAACUUCGUGCCAGCAGCCGCGGUAAUACGAAGGGGGCUAGCGUUGCUCGGAAUCACUGGGCGUAAAGGGUGCGUAGGCGGGUCUUUAAGUCAGGGGUGAAAUCCUGGAGCUCAACUCCAGAACUGCCUUUGAUACUGAAGAUCUUGAGUUCGGGAGAGGUGAGUGAACUGCGAGU
rnacentral:rRNA from 1 species